rnacentral:rRNA from 1 species
CUGGCGGCGUGCCUAAUACAUGCAAGUCGAGCGGACAGAAGGGAGCUUGCUCCCGGAUGUUAGCGGCGGACGGGUGAGUAACACGUGGGUAACCUGCCUGUAAGACUGGGAUAACUCCGGGAAACCGGAGCUAAUACCGGAUAGUUCCUUGAACCGCAUGGUUCAAGGAUGAAAGACGGUUUCGGCUGUCACUUACAGAUGGACCCGCGGCGCAUUAGCUAGUUGGUGAGGUAACGGCUCACCAAGGCGACGAUGCGUAGCCGACCUGAGAGGGUGAUCGGCCACACUGGGACUGAGACACGGCCCAAACUCCUACGGGAGGCAGCAGUAGGGAAUCUUCCGCAAUGGACGAAAGUCUGACGGAGCAACGCCGCGUGAGUGAUGAAGGUUUUCGGAUCGUAAAGCUCUGUUGUUAGGGAAGAACAAGUGCAAGAGUAACUGCUUGCACCUUGACGGUACCUAACCAGAAAGCCACGGCUAACUACGUGCCAGCAGCCGCGGUAAUACGUAGGUGGCAAGCGUUGUCCGGAAUUAUUGGGCGUAAAGGGCUCGCAGGCGGUUUCUUAAGUCUGAUGUGAAAGCCCCCGGCUCAACCGGGGAGGGUCAUUGGAAACUGGGAAACUUGAGUGCAGAAGAGGAGAGUGGAAUUCCACGUGUAGCGGUGAAAUGCGUAGAGAUGUGGAGGAACACCAGUGGAGAAGGCGACCCUCUGGCCUGUAACUGACGCUGAGGAACGAAAGCGUGGGGAG